AGUGUGCGUCAGGGCUCAGCACCACUGCCUAAAAGAUAUGCUGACUUCUAGCUCUGGGCAUGUGAAGAUAAGGCGUUGUCUGUCUCUCUCUGCUGGACGUUCUAUCUAAGCAGCGUGGAUGUUGACAAGGCUCCUGGAAGGACAAGAGAAGAUAACAUCACUAUUGUAAAACCUCAGAUUGGUGCUCAAGAUAGUUUUCAGACCCUGCACUUGAUGGAUCAGCUGGCACUACUCAGAUCAACACACUGGCUCACCUGGUCUUGUGGCCCCCACCCAGGAAAUGACUCAGCACAAGAGGACAGCUUUGACUCCCUGUGAUUUCAUCUCAGACCCAACCAGUCAGCUCUCCCUACUACUUGGCCCCCUACCCACCAAAUUAUCCUUAAAAAACCCCAGCCUCUAAAUUUUGGGGGUGACUGUUUUGAGUAAUAAUAAAACUCUGGUAUCCCAUUGAGCCAGCUCUGCAUGAAUUAGUUAACUGUUUCUCUCUUGCAGUUCCUCUGUCUUGAUAAAUCAGCCUGUCUGGGCAGUGGGCAAAAUGAACCCCCAACAGGAGGAUUUCAAAUGUAAAGAAGACACUUGGGCUGAGAUAUCCGGCUGAUCCGAACUCCAACAUGAAGCAUCCUUUCUGCUUUAGAUUGACCCCCAAAGAGUGAAGGACUAGGAAGCCAAAAGUGUCACACGGUCAAAAAUGCUUCCAUCUACUGGUGAAACUCAGGAAUACACUAACAUUUCCCUGCCUGAAAUGGUUAGUUGAGGACACAAAGCAACCCAAAGCGAGCGGAGCUUGGCCAUGGAGCUCAGAAAUUCAAAAUAGUCAGUUCUUGCUGAUGGUGAAGAGUUGCGAAGACUUUCUGAUGAAGACAUGCUCACCAACCGAGAAAAGUCCUUCCCAGCAAAGGUAUGCUGUUCAAUGUUUAAUAACCAGCUCUUCAUGGAGACGGGGAAGUCCUGAUCUGCAGAACUUGCCAAUUUCUUUGGUGUGAAUAUUCCUGUUAUAGGUGAUUGCAAAGCAACAGAAAUAAUCAGCAGAGUAAACAGACAAACCACAGAGUGGGAGAAAAUAUUAACAAAUUAUGAACCUGACGAAGGACUAAUAUCCAGAAUCUACCAGAAACUCAAAUCAGCAAGAAAAAAAAAACAACCCCAUCAAAAAGUGGGCAAAGGACAUGAAUAGACAAUUCUCAAAAGAAGAUAUACAAAUGGCCAACAAACAUAUGAAAAUGUGCCCAACAUCAGUAAUUAUCAGGGAAAUGCAAAUUAAAACCACAAUGAGAUACCACCUUACUCCUGCAAGAAUGGUCAUAAUUUAAAAAUUAAAAAGUAAUAGAUGUUGGCAUGGAUGUGAUGAAAAGGGAACACUUUUAUGCGCUGGUGGGAAUGUAAACUAGUACAGCCAUUAUGGAAAACAGUAUGGAGUUCCUUAAACAACUAAAAGUAGAACUACCAUUGGAUCCAGCAAUCCCACUACUGAGUAUCUACCUAAGGGAAAGAAGUCAUUAUAUGAAAAAAACACUUGCACACGCAUGUUUAUAGCAGCACAUUUCACAAUUGCAAAACUAUGGAACCAACCUGAAUGCCCAUCAACCAAUGAGUGGAUAAAGAAAAUGUGGUAUCUAUACACCAUUGAAUACUACUCAGCAUAAAAGGGAAUGAAAUAAUGGCAUCUGCAGCAAUCUAGAUGGAGUUGGAGACCAUUUUUCUAAGGAAAGUAACUCAGGGAUGGAAAACCAAAUAUUUUAUGUUUUUACUUGCAAGUGGGAGCUAAGCUAUGAGGAUGCAAAGGCCUAAGAAUGAUACAAUGGACUUCGGGUACUCAGGGGGAAGGGUGGGAGAGGGGUGAGGAAUAAAAGACUACACAUUGGUUAUAGUGUAUACUGCUUGGGUGACAGGUGCACCAACAUCUCAGAAAUCACCACUAAAGAACUUAUCCAUGGAACUAAAAACCACCUGUUCCCCAAAAACUGUUGAAAUAAAAAUAAACUGUCUAGCAUUAAUUUUUCUGUGUAGGAAAAAAUAAAGUCUUUUAAUG
ensembl:lncRNA LINC02694 long intergenic non-protein coding RNA 2694